rnacentral:rRNA from 1 species
CCUACGGGUGGCAGCAGUAGGGAAUCUUUCACAAUGGGCGAAAGCCUGAUGGAGCAACGCCGCGUGCAGGAUGAAGGCCUUCGGGUUGUAAACUGCUUUUAUAAGCGAGAAAUAUGAUGGUAACUUAUGAAUAAGGAUCGGCUAACUACGUGCCAGCAGCCGCGGUAAUACGUAGGGUGCGAGCGUUAAUCGGAAUUACUGGGCGUAAAGGGUGUGCAGGCGGUUUUGCAAGAUGGAUGUGAAAGCCCCGGGCGUAACCUGGGAAAGCCAUACAUGACUGCAAGACUAGAGUGCGUCAGAGGGGGGUGGAAUUCCAAGUGUAGCAGUGAAAUGUGUAGAUAUUUGGAAGAACACCGAUGGCGAAGGCAGCCCCCUGGGACGCAACUGACGCUCAUACACGAAAGCGUGGGGAGCAAACAGGAUUAGAUACCCUUGUAGUC